rnacentral:tRNA from 1 species
GAGGAGAGGUCCAACCAACAAGAACUGCUAACUCCUGCAUCUGAGCCUAAACCCUCAGUCUCCUUA